rnacentral:rRNA from 1 species
UACGAAGGGGGCGAGCGUUGUUCGGAAUUACUGGGCGUAAAGGGCGCGUAGGCGGCCCCUUUUGUCGCGUGUGAAAGCCCCGGCUCAACUGGGAGGGUGCGCCGAAUACUGAGGGACUAGAGUACGGGAGAGGAAAGUGGAAUUCCUGGUGUAGCGGUGAAAUGCGUAGAUAUCAGGAGGAACACCGGUGGUGUAGACGGCUUUCUGGACCGACACGUGACGCUGAGACACGAAAGCGUGGGUAGCAAACAGG